CCUACGGGAGGCAGCAGUGGGGAAUCUUGCACAAUGGAGGAAACUCUGAUGCAGCGAUGCCGCGUGAGUGAAGAAGGCCUUUGGGUUGUAAAGCUCUUUUGUAGGGGAAGAUAAUGACUGUACCCUAAGAAUAAGGUCCGGCUAACUUCGUGCCAGCAGCCGCGGUAAUACGAAGGGACCUAGCGUAGUUCGGAAUUACUGGGCGUAAAGCGCGCGUAGGCCGUUGAGUUAGUUAAUUGUGAAAUCCCAAAGCUUAACUUUGGAACUGCAAUUAAAACUGCUCGACUAGAGUUUGAUAGAGGAAAGCGGAAUACAUAGUGUAGAGGUGAAAUUCGUAGAUAUUAUGUAGAACACCAGUUGCGAAGGCGGCUUUCUGGAUCAACACUGACGCUGAGGCGCGAAAGUAUGGGUAGCAAAGAGGAUUAGAUACCCUCGUAGUCCAUACCAUAAACGAUGAUUGCUAGAUGUUGGAAAUUUAUUUUCAGUAUCGCANNACNCAUANANANCNCNGGNGACGACGCGAGUAAACGUACAAGAGAGUAAGUGNGUUGAGUAGCGACGACGACGACGACGGAGGAGGAG
rnacentral:rRNA from 1 species